rnacentral:lncRNA from 1 species
CUGACAUGUGUCUGCUGGAUCGCUGAAAAUAGACUAGUGUUUCCUGUGGAAUCAUUUUAGAAUUGCAGAAUCUUAGGGAAGCAAUACUUAAGAUGACAGUGAACAGACAGGAGCUGCAUUAUCUGUCAUGGCCUAAGUUUAGAAGCCACAGCCUUUAGAUAUGCAACAUCACAAGCAAUCCUGGUAUCCAAAACUGAAGAACUCAUCAUCCUGCCUCAGGCUUCAGAGUGCUGGGAUUAGAGAUGCUCAUUACCACAGCCAGCUCAGCUGGCUCCUUUGAAUGCUAGAGCUUUCUAAAUUCCUUGAGUGGGAAGUUGUAAUACAGGUGACAAAAAUCCAAACCUAGGGAGUGUGGAGGAUCUGUGGGUCAGGAAAGAAGGAGAAAUGCUCUGGGCUCCACCCUUAGAGUCUGGCAGGGUUUCCUUGCCCUGCCCCCUCCCCCAUUCCCAGUCACUUGCCCAUUCACAGAAGUUGCCCUUGCCUUCACAGAAGUUCUAGUAUCUGAUCACUCUCAUCAAAACGACAUGAUUAGCUACAUCAUCGACACCCAAGAACUUCCAGUUUGAACCUCAAAAAUAAUGGCAAAGAAUCUCCUAAAGCUUUAAAUAAGUUUGUGAGGUUGGCAGGGGCCACGUUAUAGCUAUCAUCAUGGCUACCUGUGGGCUUCAAGCUGCAGGUUAAACAUCUUCACAAACCUAGUCCAAAGCGUCCAUUAGUUCUUGUCAUGGUUUGACUAUGCUUGGCCUAGGGAAUGGCACCAUUUGGAGGUGUGGCCCUGUUGAAGUAGGUGUGUCACUGUGGGUGCGGGCUUUAAGACCCUCACCCUAGCUGCCUGGAAAUCAGUCUUCCACUAGCAGCCUUCAGAUGAAGAUGAAGAUGUAGAACUCUCAGCUCCUCCUGUACCAUGCCUGUCUGGAGUACCAUGUCUGCCUGGAUGCUGCCAUGCUCCUACCUUGAUGAUAAUGGACUGAACCUCCGAACCUGUAAACCAACCCCAAUUAAAUGUUGUCCUUCAUAAGACUUGCCUUGGUCAUGGUGUCUGUUCACACAGUAAAACCCUAAGACAGUUCUCAAGUGGAUUUUCGCAUUAGCCGCCUGCCUCAUCUUGCUUCUGUUCAUAACCUCUUCUUUCCAGUCACUCUCACUCCUAGGGCUUUGCUGCUGUCUGUCUCCCUGUCUGGACUGCCUUUCUCCUGCAUUCCCACGAGAUUGAUUUCUUCUGGUUUUUUUU